GACGAACGCUGGCGGCGUGCCUAAUACAUGCAAGUAGAACGCUGAAGAGAGGAGCUUGCUCUUCUUGGCUGAGUUGCGAACGGGUGAGUAACGCGUAGGUAACCUGCCUUGUAGCGGGGGAUAACUAUUGGAAACGAUAGCUAAUACCGCAUAACAAUGGAUGACACAUGUCAUUUAUUUGAAAGGGGCAAUUGCUCCACUACAAGAUGGACCUGCGUUGUAUUAGCUAGUAGGUGAGGUAAUGGCUCACCUAGGCGACGAUACAUAGCCGACCUGAGGGGGUGAUCGGCCACACUGGGACUGAGACACGGCCCAGACUCCUACGGGAGGCAGCAGUAGGGAAUCUUCGGCAAUGGGGGCAACCCUGACCGAGCAACGCCGCGUGAGUGAAGAAGGUUUUCGGAUCGUAAAGCUCUGUUGUAAGUCAAGAACGGGUGUGAGAGUGGAAAGUUCACACUGUGACGGUAGCUUACCAGAAAGGGACGGCUAACUACGUG
rnacentral:rRNA from 1 species